UACGGGGGGGGUAAGCGUUGUUCGGAAUUACUGGGCGUAAAGGGCUCGUAGGCGGCCAACUAAGUCAGACGUGAAAUCCCUCAGCUUAACUGGGGAACUGCGUCUGAUACUGGAUGGCUUGGAUCCGGGAGAGGGAUGCGGAAUUCCAGGUGUAGCGGUGAAAUGCGUAGAGAUCCGGAGGAACCCCAGAGGCGAAGGCGGCGCUCUGGCUCGCAACUGACGCUCAGACACGACAGCAUGGGGAGCGAACGGG
rnacentral:rRNA from 1 species